rnacentral:rRNA from 1 species
AGUAACGCGUGGGCAACCUGCCCCAUAGAGGGGGACGAACAGCUGGAAACGGCUGCUAAUACCGCAUAACAAGGAGAGAGCGCAUGUUCUUUUCUUUCAAAGAUUUAUCGCUAUGGGAUGGACCCGCGUCUGAUUAGCUGGUUGGUGAGGUAACGGCUCACCAAGGCGACGAUCAGUAGCCGGCUUGAGAGAGUGGACGGCCACAUUGGGACUGAGACACGGCCCAGACUCCUACGGGAGGCAGCAG